UUAACUAUUAUAUAGUACUCAGACAUCACUAAAAUUCAGAGUUUGGUCCUCUGGCAGGCGCAUGUAGGCAGAAGCCCACAGUGGGUGACCACGGCCUGCCAAAGCAACAAGAGUAGAUAGACACGGGUGGGGUAUACCGAAGUAUCCUUUUGGGUAAUGAUCCUUCCGCAGGUUCACCUACGGAAA
rnacentral:misc_RNA from 1 species